CCCCUUGCCCAUGCAAGACCCUCUAUAAAUACUGCCCUCCUCCUCCUCCUCUGCCGAUUUUUGCAAAAACUGCAAGUUCCCAUACCCUAGAACACCCGAUCGGAUCUCGCCGGAGUUCUCGCCCGAAGCUUCUGUCACCGCUCGACUCCGUUGCCACAGAAGAAUCGCACGGUACCAAGCCCUCAACCUCUCCUGAAUCUCGUCGGCGCAGCCUCGUGCUCCAGCUGCUCGUCACCAUCGCAGGAGGACUCCAUGGACGCUCACAAGCACACCACCAGGCUCGCCUUCACGCGAGGCGUCCCGUUCGACCCUCUCCUGAGUUCGGGGACCACCAGGAGCGACGCCCGCAUCGACCAGAGCCGUCGCGUCGCCGUCUUCUCCAAGUCCGACAACCUUGUCGCUGCGCUAUUUUCAUCGAAGUGGCGGAUAGUAUCAAGUUAUUUUCGAGAGUGUUAUUAUCUUCAUCAACUUACCAGGAAAGUUCACUUCGACCGUGCUUUUCGUACCUAUGUUUUUAUUGCAUUUAGUGCCA